AAGAACACAGUGCAGGGAGGGAGACCAGAUGCUGUGCGGGAAAUCUCUGAUCUUCUUUUAUUUAUUUUGGGGGAUUUUUAUACAGCCUUAUCUAAUAGCCCAAAGCAAUGGACAGAAACUUGGCGCACGCGCAAAAAAUGUUUGCAGUAUGCUGAGAGUUUUGCUUAGAGUUUUUUCCUUUUCUUUUUGAGCCCUCAAAAAGCUUAUGUCUUUACCUUUUUUAAAAAAACCUAUAAAUAUAGUAGUCUUAUGAAACUUAUUUCAGCCAUUCAUUGGAACAGAAGAAGAGCCUUGCAGGAUCAAGCCAGUGGCCCAUGUAGACCAGAAUCCUGUUCUCACGGUGGCCAACCAGAUCCCCGUUAUGGGAAACCCACAAGCAGGAUCUGAGCACAAGAGCCCUCUCUCCCCUAGUCCUUGAUUCACAAAAUGGGGGGAAAGGCCCAUUUCCAAACGGACCUGUGCAGGAUGCAUCCACUCCAGCCUGGCGCAUGGGAGCAAGAUGUCCUUUUGAGAUAUUGGCAAAAAAAUUAAAUUGCUUCUCUCCACGGGAAGCGGGUGCGAUUGUCAGUUAUAGCAGCAGCUGGAAGAGUCGUGUGUAGUAGAUGCUGCAGGAUCUCACCUGCGGAGGCUUCAUUAGUGCCUCAAUCCGAGGGGAGAGAUGAGAGCCAAGAAGAUCAAGGAGGAAUCUGCGCCCAGCAGAGAAGUAAUUGCUCUGAACUGGGAGCAGAUGAAAAGGGCUGGGGAGAGGCAGCGGCAGCAGAGGAGGGAGAUGGAGGAGGCUGCCCUUCUCGGGCUGCUAGGUCUCUCCUCCUCCUCCUCUCCUCCAAUUAAUGCCACGCAGGAGAUUCAGCAGGGAUGGAAGCAAAACGCAGGGUCUCCCCAACAGCCUCCCAUUUCAUAACGCCCAGCUUGGGGCACAUUAUCCUUCAUGAUGGGAAGGCAAAGCGGUGCCAGAUUUUUUGGAAUUUAAUUCCGACAGAAACGACAAACGCUACUAAAGGAACGAUUGACUGUAGUCCUAAAUCAACGCUGAGUAUUUCUGAGGAUGCCAAUGCAGGUCUGUCGUUAAAAGGAUUGCUUUUAUCCAUGAAAUUGGCAACUCAAAUAGUAGCUGCGGCUCAACAGCCCAAAACCUUAGAUUGGACACUCUGGAAUAGAGCUAUAACAGAGAAAAUCAAACAAUAAUGGAGGUGUCGACAAAGAUGAGAAGCUCCAGACAAUUUUUAAUGUGAUUUGGCAUUUUCAACCGUCCUUUUCAAGGCAACCCUCAUCACCAGCGUGAAAAAUCUGGAAUUAAUAAUCUGAUGAUACUGAUAGUAUUUACUUGGACCCCUGUGAAACUGUUACUCAUUCUACACGCCUAUUUUAUAGCCUUGUUUUUCAUCCCUUGUCAUCUGUUUUUAUAAUCGUUCUCUCUAUUUUAUAUGCAUUAUAAAGUGAAAUUAAUUUUUAAAAAAAACUUCACCCCCAAAAUGUGGCCACUUAAAAUCAUAGAAUUGUAGGGUUGGAAGAGACUCCCAAGGGUCGUCCCCCCCCCCAAAAAAAGUCAGCAAGCCUCGUGGCCCCAGAGAGCCUCCUCUUUUAUCUGCCAUGAAUCUUUCCACAGCCAGUUUUGUUGGAUAUCCACAAUUUCAUUUCUUCCAUUCAGGAAGGAAUGCGUUGUCUAAACAGCCCCUUGAACCUCAGGUCAAUGGCUGCAGGGGAUUUCCUGGCAAAACUGGCCCCAAACCACACUGGUACGUCAAUUUAGCUCUGACCGCAUCCCGUCCUCCCCCCCAGGAUUAAAUGCUGCGGCCUCAAGUCUAGAAUCUUAUCUCUUACACCUGCGGCUUCUCCAGUGCCAUCUGAUUCCAUUUCCCAUCCAAUCCUGUCUCUCUGCCAGUGGUUUGCAGUCCUAGCCUGACACUCACAAUUUUUCCUCUGAACUUUGCAAGCCGGUCAGGAAGAAGGAGGUUUGGGGGUUUUUGGUCCCCCCCACUGUGCGAGGGGCUUGAUCCUGGCUGGAUGAGUGGCUUCCGCUUGUCUCCAGAGCUGGUUUCUGAAAGAAAACAGCUCUCAGGUGGAAGAGAGAAGCCUCUGCAGAUAAGAGGGUAGAGAAGAGUCUUUGUCCCUCUCUCUCAAAGCUAGAAUUUCUGGGUAUCCAUUUGUUGUAAACAAAAUCUGCCCUUUUUCCCUUAUGGGGUAUCCAAGAGCCCAUACAGAUUCCUUACGUAGGUUCCCUAUUGGUAGGAGAAAAUAACAGAGGCCAACCAGAGAAUAUUGAGAAGCAAAGCAGCUAGUAAGCCUGAUCUUUUAUUGAUCUGUUGCAACAGGGUCCUCACUCACCACACGCAGGAGGGAGGAGGAACCCUGAACAAUGGCACGCAAGGCCUUAUAUAGACAUUUUAAAUUCCCUGCCCUGGAGUGCAAGACCACCCCUCCAUACAUCAUACCUACAUCACAGAAGGGGUGUAACCCAAGACCACCCCCCACAAACAUCAUACCUACAUCACAGAAAAGGCGGUCUACAGCAGAAAUCUGAGUGCGUUGUUUAUCUCAUCUGACAGGUUACCUGUUAAUGCUCACUUGAUUGGAUAACCUGGGGAGCCUGGCCAGUCUUUCGUAAUGAUAAAUACUUAGUUCCUGAGCCAGGUCACAGGAUCACCCUAUUCAUACACAGACAUACCGUUAGGAUUUGUGAAGGAAAAGACAAUGGGGAGGCUUUUCCAUUUUCCUUGACCUUGCAGAGAAAACAUUUGCUCAGUUUGGGAAUCAAAAUGGUUCCAGGUUGGUCUUCCUGUGCUGAUCUAUGUACGUGCUUGGUUGAAUGUUAUGAAUGUUUAACAUAGAUCUAAGACCUCAAAAUUCCUGUCACACAUUGAAGCAGGAGAGAUAAAUAAAAGGAAGGGGAGAGCUGCUCUUCUGCUCAGGUCCUGCUCGGGGGUUUCCCUUUGGCCCCUGAGGGAACAGGAGGCUGGACUGGCUGCCUGAUUCAACUCUCCUCCUGUCCUUAUGCUUCUAGAGGUGAGGAUGCAACUGCCGGCAGCUGUGGACUCUGCUUCUUGCUGGCUCUGGCUCCCCUGCUGUUGGUCUCCCUGCCUUCUGCCCCGCCAGCCCCACUGCUCCAAGGGGGAAGCCAGAGCCCCCUUCAGGCAGGCUCGAGUGGGGCUAGGAAAUCUUAGCAGCUUUCUCUCGCCCAGGGCAACCCCAAGCGACUUGGAUUCAAAAGCAGAGCAAGACAGGAGGUGUUUUACCCACAAAAUAGGUACAGUAAAUUCUGUGUGUACCUGCCGUUAGCAUUACCCACACAGUUACAGUUGGGAGGGAACCCCAAAGGUCCUCUAGUCCAGCCCCCUGCAAUGCAGGAAUCAGAGCUGAAGAAUCCCCAGUUAUUUAUUUAUUUAUUUAUUUAUUUAUUUAUUGCUUUCAGAUAUACCCCUCCAGGGAGCUCAUACAUCGUUCUCCUCUUCCCCUUUCUGUCCCUGCGACGGCAGCCCUGCGAGGUUGUGGCCCAAGGUCAUGACCAGUGAGCUUCAUGGCCAAGCGGGGAUUUGAAUCCUGGUCACUCCCAGGUCCUAGAAAUCUGUCACCCUAACCACUGCACCGCACUGCCCUCGAACCAUGGAACUGUUGUAUAGAUGGUAUAUUACACCAGUGAAAUUAGCUAAAAUGUGUAAGACAAAUAAUAAAUGUUGGAAAUGUAAAGAAAAAGAAGGAACAUUUUAUCAUAUGUGGUGGGAAUGUAAAAAAGUAAAGAACUUCUGGGAAAUGAUAUAUAAUGAGAUGAAAAAGAUGUUGAAAUAUACUUUUUUUAAAAAAAAACAAGCAUUUUUACUUGGUAUUUUAGGUCAGAACAUUAAUAGGCAAGAUGUUAAAUUGUUUUUAUAUGCAACAACUGUGGCAAGAGUAUUGUUAGCCCAGAAACGGAAACAAGAAGAAAUUCUGACAAAAGAAGAAUGGCAGACGAAAUUAAUGGACUACGCAGAAUUGGACAAAAUGACAGGAAGGAUUCGAAACCUGCGGGACCAGAGAUUUACAGAAGAUUGGAAGAAGUAUAUGAAUUAUUUGAAGAGCAACUGUAACCAACAAAUUACGCUAGUAGGACUACAAGAAGUUUUGUAAGGAGAAAUAUAUGAAGUGUUACGAAGUAGAAAAAGAUAGAGAUAUUGGUUAUGAGUUUGAAAUGUAAUAGGGAAAAUAAGAAAUGCAUACUGAGAGAUUAGAUUGGAAAAUUUUCAGACAGGAUUGAUGGAAGUAAAAAAAAAUAUGAAUAAGAUGUAAAAGUAUGUUUAAUUACUGUUG